UACGUAGGGUGCGAGCGUUGCCCGGAUUUAUUGGGCGUAAAGGGCGCGUAGGCGGCCACGCACGUCCGUUGUGAAAUCGCCCGGCUCAACUGGGCGGGGUCAGCGGAUACGGUGUGGCUCGAGCAAGCUAGGGGGCAAUGGAAUUCCCGGUGUAGUGGUGGAAUGCGUAGAUAUCGGGAGGAACACCAGUGGCGAAGGCGGCCAGCUGGCGCUGACCUGACGCUGAGGCGCGAAGGCGUGGGGAGCGAACGGG
rnacentral:rRNA from 1 species